UGCUGAUGAUGAUAAAUCCAAAGGCUUGUUUCUCAAAAUUCGCAGUGGCCGCCUGAAAGCUUUCGCCUCGCCAGGCUUGAGAGCUUAUGUUGCUCAACUUUUCCUUCCUUGGAUGUCUGAAGCU